UACGUAGGGUGCAAGCGUUUGUCCGGGAAUUAUUGGGCGUAAAGAGCUCGUAGGCGGUUUGUCGCGUCUGCUGUGAAAUCCCGAGGCUCAACCUCGGGCCUGCAGUGGGUACGGGCAGACUAGAGUGCGGUAGGGGGAGAUUGGAAUUCCUGGUGUAGCGGUGGAAUGCGCAGGAUAUCAGGAGGAACACCGAUGGGCGAAGGCAG
rnacentral:rRNA from 1 species